GCCGCCCGGAGCCGGGAGCGCCGCUCCAGCGAGGCGCGGGCUGUGGGGCCGCCGCGUGCCUGGCCCCGCUCGCCCGUGCCGGCCGCUCGCCCGCCAUGCCUGGCUUCGACUACAAGUUCCUGGAGAAGCCCAAGCGACGGCUGCUGUGCCCACUGUGCGGGAAGCCCAUGCGCGAGCCUGUGCAGGUUUCCACCUGCGGCCACCGUUUCUGCGAUACCUGCCUGCAGGAGUUCCUCAGAUCAUGAAACGAGAUUCAAAGAAAGGCUGCGACUUGCCCAGGGUCACAUAGUUACUUAAAGGCUUAACUAGGAUUUAAACCCGGACUGCUUAUGAUCACACAAUGGAGGAAGGACUGAAUCCUCCCCCGAAGAAGGACCCCUCUAGGCGGCUCCCCUCUCUCCCGGGGGCUGGAGUAAGGCGGGUGGUCCAUAAGUCAUGAAGAAGGGGGUCGCACUCGUGUUGUUACUGAACUCCCGCUGCCCUCUCAGGACGCAGCCUGGGCCGGCUCCUGCCCUCACAUAUGCUCCGGCACAAGCUGCAGGACUGCCCCCUCCCCCUCGGCAGUGUACACAUUUACUCUCCUACAGACACAGCCCCAUUGUCUCCGCCACUGCUCUUCCCCGGCCCUCUGGGUUCCAGAUGAGGCCAGCUGAGCCCCCCGACCCCCCCACAGCUGACCCACCCUGACUGCCUCGGGAAAGGAGCGGGGGAGGGGGCC
rnacentral:lncRNA from 1 species